ensembl:lncRNA
AUACAGAAGACGUAUGAUGACAGUGAUGACCAUGGGCCAAGUGGAAAUAAAGCUAGUGCUGCUAGUGCAACCCAGCAGCAGGCCAUCUCUACAGCUUUCCUAUGUUCUUCAAAGUAUAAAAACGAAUCGAAGGAACAACAGACCAAGGAGCAGGCCAUAGCUAGAUGGAUUGGACGCACAGGUUUACCACUCACAACAAUUGAAGAUGAGGACUUUGUGCUAAUGAUGGAGAUAGUGGAUAGGAGACUAACAGUUCCAAAGAAAACUAAAAUGAGCAAUUUGAUUGAAACACAGUAUGAACAUGAAAUACUAAAAUUCAAAGAGAGACUGGCUGCUGCCCGGAGAGUAUCCAUUGGCCUUGACUUGUGGACAAAAAAAGGACUGACAGCCUCAUUCCUCGCUAUAAGUGCAUGCUACUUUUGUGUUGAACUAAGUAAACCUGUACAUAUAUUGUUGGCCCUUGAACAAGUAGCUCACCCACACACUGCACAGUCUAUUAAGGCAUGUGUGGACAAAUGUAUGCAAGAGUGGGCCAUACCAAAGCAGAAGAUCCUGACGGUAAUAACGGACAAUGGGAGUAACAUGGUGGCAGCCUUUAAAAACACCACAGCCGAAGAAACCAGCUCUGAGGACGACUCCCCUGGGUCCACGAUGGAAAGUGACUCUGAAAUUGAUGACCAGCGGUACCAUCAUGUCGAUAUGGAAAUGGACCGGACACCGUGUGUGGUGCAUACCAUAAAACUAGUGGUCCACAUGUUGCAGAAAGAGACAACUGUCAAAAGAGUCCUCGAUAAAGCAAGGUCUGUGGUGAAGCUCUUUCGCAAGUCCUCAGUUGCAACACAAAGGUUAUUGGACCAGUGUGGGGUUAUUGUUGUAAAUGACUGCCCCACGCGCUGGUCAAGCACAUUUAACAUGGUCACACGACUCCUCACAGUCAAAGAUGCAGUCUGUCAAAUCUCAAAUGACAUGGGAUGGGACAAUUUGCUUACUAGUGAGUGGCAAAAGCUUUCAUCAUUGCAUGACUUACUGCUGCCUUUUGCUGAACACACUAAAACCCUCCAGAGUGACACCACAUCAAUGUCCCUAGUGGUUCCUGCCCUUUUUGAUCUGCUGAGCCACCUAACUGACUUUGCAAAGAACACUCGGUACAGAGACCUCGUCACUCUUGCAGAGAAAAUGAGAUCAAAUCUGAACCAGCGUUUUUCUUGCCUCUUAGAUUCAACCGAUGAAAAGUUCUCAGCACUUGCAGCAGCUGCCUGCUUUGUUAACCCAACUGUCUGUGAAAUCCUUGUUAAUGUUGAUGUGGCUGAUGGAAAUAUCCAGGAACUGCUGAAACAGGCAGAAGAAUAUGUGGUCAAAUGCACUUUCCCACACACAAGACAGGAGGACCAGUCUGAAGAUGAUGCAGAAGAAGAGGUUAUUGAGGAACCAGAAGCAGCGCCAUCCUCAAAGCAGCCGGUGUUUAGGUUCCUCUCAAAAUGCCGCACCUCAAGGCCUAAACAGAAAACCUCCACAACUAGCAUCAGACAGCAGAUCAUCAAGUACGAGGAAGAACUUUCACAUCCCAUCACUGAGGACACAGGGACAGACUUCUGGCUGGCAAAGAGUGACAGUUUUUAUCACAAUUUAAAACCUUUUGCGUUAGACUUGUUGGCUAUGCCAGCUUCUCAAGCUUUUGCGGAGAGGGUAUUCAGCAUCACAGGUGACCUCACAAGAGGACGGCGCAACAGGGGAAGGGUCACAUUGGAGCGAAGUGCUUUACUUAAAAUGAACAGAGACAAAUAGAACUGUUGUAUUUACUGCUAUUUACAGCAUUUCCUGUAGUAGUAUAUGCACAACUUGAAAGUUACUGAUCUUGUAUUUUUGUUUUUUGUUUAAUAUGAGAGCAGAGGUUUUUUUUUGUUCCAUGCAAUAAUGGCAUUACAGCUUAGCAUGUAAUUCACUUGUCUUGAGUUGAGCUCAUUGAUAUUAGCUCAUUGAUACUACUUUUAAUUAUUAACAGAAGAAUUAACAGAAGAAUAUUUUGUGCAAUGACAUUACAACCAAUGCAUAUUUUCUUUUACAUACGUUUUGUUUUUCUUUUCAAAUCUCUUUGAUUUUGCACACAAUGCACAGAGUAAUAGAUGAUGAAGAAGAUGAUGAUGCUUACAGAGUUGUGUGCUUUUUAGUUUAAUUUGAUAUUUACCUGUAUUUUCAAUGCUGAGAGAGCAGGGGUUUUUUUUAUUUACUUGAACAUUAAGGAGUGUUUCUUUGGUAGUGUGUGUGUAAUGGCAUUACAGCCAAUACAUCUUUCAUUCUACAUUUGAGAAUUGCACUAAUCUGUUCUGUUCAAAUCUUGUUGAUUUUGCACAGAGUAGCAAGGCAUUCUAAGACAUUGUAGCCUAGCAGUUAUUUAACUUCUCUUGAGGUAUGUGAACAGUAACAGUAGUGAACUUUCUGUAUUUAGAAACCUUGUGCAAUGGCAUUACUUUUUAUUGUUUUUGAGAAUUGCACUUUAUUUUUCUUAAUGUUUUUGAUUUUGCACAGACAGUAGAAGACAGUAAGUUUAGAGUUAGGUGGUUGUCUAUUUCAAUAAUACUGUACUUCAUCUUGAAAGAAUGUCAUAUGCAUUGCAUAUCAUUCAGGGAGAAUGCAUAUCUUUUUCAGAGAGCAUGUAUAUUUUUCAUGGAGAGCAGGCCUUAUGUUUAUUUUAUGUGAGAUUAUCUUUUGUGAAAAAAGUUACGGUCAGUGUUUUUGACAUUAAGAAUAAAAUAAAAUACAUGUUUUGUAUUACAGCCAUUAAAUCUGUGUAUGUAUUGCAUAUUCAAACCUUAAUACCAUUCCAUAACAGACUGAUGGAAACAUUUAGUCAAGUCAACUAAGUCGACUUUGUUCUACUAAAAAAAAACUAGACUAAGACUAAAAGACUUAAGACUAGACUAAGACUAAAACUCUUAUGAUAUUUAGUCGACUAAAACUAAACUAAGACUAAAAGAUUUCAGAUGACCAAAAUGUGACUAAAACUAAAUGGUGUGUUAUUCAAAAGACUAAGACUAAGAGUAAAUCCGAAUUUGCUGUCAAAAUUAACACUGGAAUGGAAGACCGCAUUUAAUACCCCCAGAG